CCUACGGGAGGCAGCAGUCGGGAAUAUUGCGCAAUGGAGGAAACUCUGACGCAGUGACGCCGCGUGCAGGAAGAAGGUUUUCGGAUUGUAAACUGCUUUAGACAGGGAAGAAAAAAGACAGUACCUGUAGAAUAAGCUCCGGCUAACUACGUGCCAGCAGCCGCGGUAAUACGUAGGGGGCUAGCGUUAUCCGGAAUUACUGGGCGUAAAGGGUGCGUAGGUGGUUUCUUAAGUCAGAGGUGAAAGGCUACGGCUCAACCGUAGUAAGCCUUUGAAACUGGGGAACUUGAGUGCAGGAGAGGAGAGUGGAAUUCCUAGUGUAGCGGUGAAAUGCGUAGAUAUUAGGAGGAACACCAGUUGCGAAGGCGGCUCUCUGGACUGUAACUGACACUGAGGCACGAAAGCGUGGGGAGCAAACAGGAUUAGAUACCCCUGUAGUC
rnacentral:rRNA from 1 species